rnacentral:sRNA from 1 species
UAUCUACAUGAUGAAAACUAUCAUAAGCCAAGGAUUAAAGUCCAAUGAAGCAUCUUGUAGUCAUAGUUACACUGAUAGAAC